UGCUCGGACUUCCAGUUAUGAUGGAUUUAAUGUAAAAACAGAGACAUAGGUAAGGAAUUCUACGUUUUCUUUCUAAUUCAAUAACAAAUGAAAAAUCAGCGAAUGCUAUUUGUAAGAAUUCCUUACCUAUGUCUUUCUUUUUACAUUGAAACCAUCUUAACCGGGAGUUAAAGAAGAAGUAUUUACAUUCAUAACCGAAAGGCUAUGAUUCUGUAGAUUACCGGGUGUGCAAAUGACCAGCUUUGAUUUUGGCCUAAGUUAACAUUUUUGCAAAGGGGAACAACAAGAGUUAAAGUAUUAAAAUCGAAAAGAAUGAAUAACACCAUUUAAGCAACUGCCGGUAUUAUAUACACUUGUGAACUGUAAAUAUUGAGCAUUUUAGAAAAAAGAUUAUGCAUCACAUUUUAUAUUGUCGUAUAGUUUUGAAGAAGCAAGAUUGUGUAUUAUAAUUUAUUAGUUUUAUUUAAUCAUAAUAAAUCAUCUCGGGAACAUGUGUAGUGUCUUUUGUAAAAGGUAAUUAUAUACGUUUUGAUUUAUUGAACCUAGAAUAUUAUGAAGUCUUCAGUCUGUCGAGUUGAAUAUACCUUGCCCAUUAUGAAAAGCUAGACUAAUGAAUAUGAUACUCUACAAACCUGCUCAACUAAAUCAGUAUCGCAUGUUGUCUUGUUUGUAGCAUGUUUUAAUUUGUAUUAAAUCUGAAACAUCAUGGCCUUCAAUAUUCCACUUCCUGUUGUGACGUUUAAACGUUUGUUGAUUUAGUUCUGUGGGGUUAGAAAAUAUUCGUGGUAUUAGGUUGUAUAUUAGAAUGAUACGGAUUUUCUAAAUGACCAAAAUUAGGAAUACAUUAACAUAUGAAAUGAAGAUGUACCAAAUGCCUUUACAGAUGUGGAUACUCUGGCAAACCUGUGGUUUUGUUCAGGAUUCCUAGUGGAAGGUGCAGCACUAGAUCCAAAUUGUUUCGACAAUUGUAAUUGUUGUCAGGAUACCAUAUGUAAAAAUUACCAUAGCUUUUGGAACUAUUGCACAAACAGAUGUAUCGACGGACACAGAAGUGCCAGAUGCUAUGAGCUUUGUAAUCACAGCUGUACAAAAUGCGAAGGCAGGAGUAAUACAUUUUGUGAUGAAUGCUAUGAUGGCUUUCACCUUGGGCCAAAUAAAGAUUGUACAUCAGGAUGUCCCCCUAAAUGUAGAGCUUGUACUUCAGACACAAUGUGCACAGUUUGUAAGGACGGUUAUUAUAACAAAGAUGGGUCGACAACAUGUCCACGCGCUUUUUGUCCAGAUAAUUCUAAAUGCAAUGGUAGUACAACAUGUAAAGAUGGUUUCUAUGACACAGGCAAUGAAUAUAGUAAAGACUGUUUGUCCAACUGUGCGUCCUGUUCAUCUCGGGAAAUAUGCAACAAGUAUAAAAUGGAUUUUAUAACGGGUAUGAAUUUGACAAUAUUUUUACAGAGCCGUUCGACAAUUGCACAUUUAGAUGCAGAGAUAGCUGCACAGAAUGUCAAUCUUACGAUAACUGCUUGCAAUGUAUUAAUGGUACCUAUGACCGAAUAUGUAAAAAAAUUGCUCAGUCGGUUGCAAAGAUCAGGCAUGCCGUAUUGAAUCAUGCAAUUGCGAUUGUUCCUCGAAUUUUGUGGGUAACAAAUGCAAUGAGUGUGUUGAAGGGAAAUAUGGGACAUACUGUACGACAAAUUGUUCUUCAUAUUGCAAAAACGGUAUUUGUAACAAGCAUUCUGGACAUUGUAGGAAAUGUAUGCAAAAUCAUUACAGACCCUUUUGCAGUAAGAUAUGUAACGAAAAUUACAAAGUUUCCGACAAAGGCGACACAAGUUAUUGCGCUCAGUCCGAUGGGACAUGUGUAUUUGGUUGUAAAGACGGUUGCUUUGGCUAUACAUAUAAUGAGACAUGUAGCUGUAAUUGUAUUGAUGGUGGGUGUAACCAGGAAACUGGUGUCUGUUAAAAAGGAUGUACAGGCUCAUACGAAGAUCCAUCAUGUACUUUAGGUAAGACAAUUUGUUCUGUAAAAUCACAUUUCCGUUGUUUUGGUUUUAUAUAAGCAGUUUCCCGAUUGACUCAUAUUUAGUGCAAAAUAUACUUUAGUUAAGUAUACUACUAUAAAACUUACUUACAAAUAUUUUGUCUCGUUCCUUAAAAACAGCUGAUUUGUGCCAUUUCUACUUUUUGUCCCACGACCCUGCCAGAAAAAAAAAAACACGAUAUUGUAGAAAUCUGAAUGUUACAGAGGCACAUAUAUAGCUCGCUAGACAGCGUGGUUGCAGGACAAAAAAAGGACAAAAAAAGGAAAUACUAUUCAUUUACAAUUACAUAUUAAUAUCACCAGUGUCUAUAUUUUGAGGAAGACAUGCAUUUCUGGAUCUGGUUCUUGUUAUAUAUUCUAUUUUUACUAAUUCGUUUAUGAUGAUAUCUUUGAUAUGUCAAGGAUAAUUUUAAUUCCAUCAAUAUUAAAAAUCAAGUUUUUCUUUCUUUGAAAGAAGUGUCUUGCAAGUGAGCACGGACAGUUCUGCUUGUGAUGAAGCAACAAACAGAGUAAGAGUUUAAUCUAAAAAAUCUUGUAAAGCUCUGUAUGAAAUAUAUUUCGAG